CCUACGGGAGGCAGCAGUGAGGAAUAUUGGUCAAUGGACGCAAGUCUGAACCAGCCAAGCCGCGUGCAGGAAGACGGCUCUAUGAGUUGUAAACUUCUUUUGUACGAGGGUAAACUCAGAUACGCGUGUCUUUCUGAAAGUAUCUUACGAAUAAGGAUCGGCUAACUCCGUGCCAGCAGCCGCGGUAAUACGGAGGAUUCAAGCGUUAUCCGGAUUUAUUGGGUUUAAAGGGUGCGUAGGUGGUUGGGUAAGUUAGAGGUGAAAGCCUGAGGCUCAACUUCGGAAUUGCAUUUGAUACUGUUCGGCUAGAGUGUAGUUGCGGUAGGCGGAAUGUGUGGUGUAGCGGUGAAAUUCUUAGAGAUCACAAAGAACACCGAUUGCGAAGGCAGCUUACUAAGCUACUACUGACGUUGAGGCACGAAAGCGUGGGGAGCAAACAGGAUUAGAUACCCGAGUAGUC
rnacentral:rRNA from 1 species